UUUUGGCAAAAGAAGACCUUACGUCUUCAUUCGCCUCCCGUAGCUUUUUAGGGUUCAUCCUAUUGUUCAAUCUCCAACGACUUCUCUGACUCCAUGAAUGGAGGUUGGAGAGAUUUAGUGGCUCAAACCGAUGUAAUGAUGUGGUUCUCUCUCUCUCUGCUAUAAUUUUGUCUUUAAAUCGAUCAUUGCCUUCUUCUUCUUCUUCUUUCAGUUUAUCGGCAAAGCAUGAAGGGAGACGAUUCGAUCUUAGAUUUAAUGCCUCCAAGGAAGAAGCAUAAUAAAGGACCCAACAAGAAACGGAAGCUGAAGAAACUUGAGGAAGACAGGGAGAAAUAAGAGAUCCUCUCUGCAAAAACUUCCAAGUUGUUAAGACAAGUAUAAAAUAUCUCAGGAUGUGUCUUCGCUUUUCCAAUCUUCAAAAGCCAUAGUCUGAUAAGAAGCUGGAGAAACGCAUGAGACCAAUGCAACUACCUAAAGCUGGUGUUUUGUCUGAUGAACCAGUCAAGGAAAAUGACAACUCUGAUUCAUGUAUGGACGAGCCUACCACACCUGAAAUCCAUAUCCCGGCUCUUCAUACUGAUUCUCACCAACUUAUUCAUCCCAAUGAACUCGAUUCCAAAGUAAUGUUAAUCUCUGCUGAAGAGGUCCGUGAAGAAGAAUGGUUUAUGAAUUUUUUUUUAAAAAUUCGGCUAUGAUGUGUGUGUUUCGUUUGAUUGGUUAUUAUUUCUGGAAAACCGGUUGCUGUAAGACCACUCAAGUUCCUCAGCCACGUCGUGUUGCUGUCCUCGCCACUGCCGAGAGGGUGGCUCAUGAGCUUGGUGUUCACCUCAGUCAAGAAGUCGGUUUCCAAGUUAGGUGCGACAAAAAGAUUGGUGAGAACUCAGCUAUAAGUUUAUAAACGAUGGGAUAAAUCCGUGAAGUUAAGUGAUUGCAGGCAGCAUAGAUUUUAAAAGAUCUUUAAGCUACAGAGGCAUUCUUCAUACACCCACCAGUCACCCUCCAACUUAUUUGGCUUCCUAAUUCCAUGUAACAUUUAUGUUCAGUUGAUAUAAUAUAUCCCUCCUGGUAAUAAGAUCUAGGGGAGCAAUGGCCAUGUGGUUGACGGAAUGACGGUGAUCAGCAUGUCAAUACUAUGUAGAUGGUGAUUUUGCGGCGGCUACAACGUUGUUGGGAGUCAGAAAUAGUGCUGGGAAUAUGAAUUAUUAUCCGCGGGCCCCGCCCCAUUUGACCCGCUGCGGGGCGGGUGCGGGUCGAGUGAUUUGAAAAAUUUGGUUCGCGGAUGCAGGUGCGGGUUGAGUGAUUUUUAUGCGGGGCGGGUGCGGGUCAGCCAAAAUUCAGUGCGGGUACCCGCCAACCCGCAAAAACUAAAAAAAAAAGAUUUUUUUUUUAAAUAUUAUUUUUAAAUAGAAAUUUUUUAAAAAAUAAUUUAAUUUUAAUUAUAAAUAGAUUAAUAUUUAUUAUUUUUAAUAAAAAAUAUUUAAAAUAUUAAAUUUUAUUGUUAUUUUUAAUAAAAAAUAUUUAAAAUAUUAAAUUUUAUUGUUAUUUUAAUAAAAAAAUAUUUAAAUUAAUAAUUUUUAAUAUUAUUAAUAUUAUCCGCGGGUCUAGCGGAUCACCCGCGGGUUUUAGCGGGGCGGGUGCGGAUUUCAUAUUUUCUUCUUGCGGGUCAAGCGGGUCAAAUUUUUUGAAUAAAAAAAAUCAGUUUACCCGCGGGUUGGCGGGUCAGCGGGGCGGAUUUGACCCGCAACCCAGCUCUAGUCAGAAACGCGUGAUGUACAAGCUCGCUCUGGUUCCUCACAAACAGUCUCUUUUCUUCCUCUUCGCAACUCCAACCUUAGGGUGUCUCUCUGUAUGCACUGAUUUAGAUUUAGUCCUAAAGAAUACUUCGCAAGUUCAGAUUUAGUUAUUUACACCUAAAGAGGAUGUUCCGAAGAAACUUCUGGAUAUUUUUCUUUAUAAGCUGCUCCGAAUCAUCAGCCGUUAAGACUUCUCGCAACUGUUUUUAUACAGGUAAAUAUGAAUCUUGGUUUAAGUCUCCCUCAUUAAGUCAGCCGUCACAAUAAACGUAAAGAGAGUAGUAAUCAUAUACACAAAUCUGCAAUGGUUAUCAUCAGCAGCAUCAUUAGUGUCUUACAUGGCAACUUCCAAAGGUUUAUGUUACGUUCAGUAACUAUGUUACGGCUGAGAGAGCAGAGAUUCUGCUCUAUUGUUUGAAACAUUGUUACCUUGGAUUAUCUCAAUUGUAUAUGCGAGAUUCUGUAAAAUAAGGAUGUUAUUAGAGAGUUGUUGAAGAGCCGUUCAAGAGACUUCAAGGUUUAGCUUUUAACAUAGUUGCUUGGAAUGAUUCUGUUAUCUUUGUAGACAAAAUCAUGAGGCGUAGUGAAUAACCUUUUAUAGGUUUUCCACUUUACUUCUAUAUUUAUUUAUUUUCCUUCUGUUCUCAUCUAUCUCCUGUAAAUUCAUUUCAGAUCAACAUCAUUGUCAAAUCUAGAACUAAAGCAUUUACUUCAUUUUUCUUAA